rnacentral:misc_RNA from 1 species
UACGGAGGGUGCAAGCGUUAAUCGGAUUUAUUGGGCGUAAAGGGCGCGUAGGCGGAUAGGUAAGUCAGAUGUGAAAUUUCGGAACUCAAUUCCGAAGCUGCAUAUGGAACUAUCGAUCUAGAGGGUAGGCGGAGAAAAGGGAAUUCCAAGUGUAGCGGUGAAAUGCGUAGAUAUUUGGAAGAACACCGGUGGCGAAAGCGCUUUUCUAGCUUACAACUGACGCUGAGGCGCGAGAGCAAGGGUAGCAAACAGG